rnacentral:rRNA from 1 species
CCUACGGGGGGCAGCAGUGAGGAAUAUUGGUCAAUGGACGAGAGUCUGAACCAGCCAAGUAGCGUGAAGGAUGACUGCCCUAUGGGUUGUAAACUUCUUUUAUAAAGGAAUAAAACGAGGCACGUGUGCCUUUUUGCAUGUACUUUAUGAAUAAGGAUCGGCUAACUCCGUGCCAGCAGCCGCGGUAAUACGGAGGAUCCGAGCGUUAUCCGGAUUUAUUGGGUUUAAAGGGAGCGUAGAUGGGUUGUUAAGUCAGUUGUGAAAGUUUGCGGCUCAACCGUAAAAUUGCAAAUGAUACUGGCAGUCGUGAGUACAGUUGAGGUAGGCGGAAUUCGUGGUGUAGCGGUGAAAUGCUUAGAUAUCACGAAGAACCCCGAUUGCGAAGGCAGCUUACUAAACUGUGACUGACAUUGAUGCUCGAAAGUGUGGGUAUCAAACAGGAUUAGAUACCCGGGUAGUC